CUGAAAACUUACAAUUUGACACCAAGAUCACUCAAAUCAAAUAAGUAACAACAUUUUUGUGAGGAAAAAAAGAUUUGGGGGCUCUCUUGAGAUUAGAA